UCCCCAGUGGUCCAGUGGUUAAGACUCUGCACUCCAAAUGCAGGUGUCAUGGGUUUGAUCCCUGGUUGGAGGA
rnacentral:tRNA from 1 species